CGUAGGAGGCAAGCGUUAUCCGGAGUAACUGGGCGUAAAGGGCGGGUAGGUGGUUGCGUAAGUUGGUUAUGAAAGCUCCUGGCUAAACUGGGAGAGGUUGACCAAGACUGCGCGACUUGAGUGGAGAAGAGGUAAACGGAAUUCCGCGUGUAGUGGUGAAAUGCGUAGAGAUGCGGAAGAACACCAGUGGCGAAGGCGGUUUACUGGUCUCCAACUGACACUGAACCGCGAAAGCAUGGGUAGCGAACGGGAUUAGAAACCCCGGUAGUCCAUGCCGUAAACGAUGCACACUAAACGUUCGACAUCCGCGAGGGUGUUGAGUGUUGAAGCCAACGCGAUAAGUGUGCCGCCUGGGGAGUACGGUCGCAAGGCUA
rnacentral:rRNA from 1 species